UACGGAGGGUGCAAGCGUUAUCCGGAUUCACUGGGUUUAAAGGGUGCGUAGGCGGGCAGGUAAGGCAGUGGUGAAAUCUCCGGGCUUAACCCGGAAACUGCCGUUGAUACUAUCUGUCUUGAAUAUCGUGGAGGUAAGCGGAAUAUGUCAUGUAGCGGUGAAAUGCUUAGAUAUGACAUAGAACACCCAUUGCGAAGGCAGCUUACUACACGAUCAUUGACGCUGAGGCACGAAAGCGUGGGGAGCAAACAGG
rnacentral:rRNA from 1 species